GAUGAACGCUGGCGGCGUGCCUAAUACAUGCAAGUCGAGCGAAGCGGGGACGGGUGAGUAACACGUGGAUAACCUCCUAUAAGAUUGGUAUAACUUCGGGAAACCGGAGCUAACCCGGAUACUUAUCGCUGGAUCCUCGCUGCAUUGGCUAGUUGGUAAGGUAACGACUUACCAAGGCAACGAUGCAUAGCCGACCUGAGAGGGUGAUCGGCCACACUGCAACUGAGACACUGUCCAGACUCCUACGGAAGGCAGCAGUAGGGAAUCUUCCGAAAUGGGCGAAAGCCUGACGGAGCAACGCCGCGUGAGUGAUGAAGGUCUUCGGAUCGUAAAACUCUGUUAUUAGGGAAGCGGUACCUAAUCAGAAAGCCACGGCUAACUACGUGCCAGCAGCCGCGGUAAUUC
rnacentral:rRNA from 1 species